GUUUGGGUGCCGGCGGUGACGGGCGCGCGGCGGCAGGCUGGUAUUUUUCCCUUUGCAGGGGGGCUGGGAACAUUCAGUGCUCCAUCCUACCUUGGUGGUCCCUGUGUUGCUGUGGUCCAGGUGCCCUUAUGAGUCUUUAAAUCACAGUGACUUGGGCCAGCUGCUCUCUGACCCCUCACUGCCUUCCUGCCCCACCAUCCUCACCAGCUGUGACGUCCUUUUCCGUCUCAUCUCAGCUCCAGGAUUCCUCCAUCAGCUGGUGCAUGGAGUAAAGGAGUGCAGGAGACAGACGUGCUGUAGGAUUUUAUCCCAGAGCUGUUGCCAUAGUCCUUAUUUCUGCAAAAUAAAACAUUUUCU